UGGCGCACGUAUAAGGCGAGAGGUCCGAUCGGGGCUUGUUUGAGUGACACAGCCACAUAGAUGAGGCUAUUUCAUCUCGGUGUGAGUGUCUAAUGUGCCCUGCUGCACUGCCACACUCUCACCCGCUAUUCACUGAUGAUGGACCACGUGUCAUAGAUAUUGCCUAGAGGAGUCGAAUAACAGAUUUGUCCCAAUUGGGAGCAAAAAGCCAGCUACUUCAAUUGCAACAAUUCCAUGCAGUUAGAAUGCAGAUCAGUUCUGCAAAAGGUAAAUAAUGGGGGUAGCUUCUUUUUCAUUUGGUGGUCUUACCUUCAGUGCAGCAACUGGGUGACCUUCAAUCCCUUGCAAGUGUAAAACCAAAGCUAUUUAGGGCAUGCCUGGUUAAAUGAUUACCCACUGUUUCACCAUUAAUUGCAUACUGUGCCAGCAACCGGAGUCAGCACAUCUUCCCUAGGUUGUAGGUGCCAAGUGCCUGGACUCAUUUUUCACUAACGGUCGGGUAGGCCUUUGUCGCUUCAGGCUAUCACAAACACAUCGGCUAGGACCAGAGCAGGUGUUGAAGGAUCUCACCUCUCAUGUGGAAUAUCCAGAUCAUCAGCGGAGACACAAAUAGCAACUCAGUGACAAAAGUAGGUAAAUAAAAAUGUUGGACUUCAGUAGAAACAGGAAACGGGUCUUCCAUGUCCGAGAAGUAAACACAUACAGCAUCAAGUACAUCAUUAACAUUCCCAGACAAUGUCGACAUGAACAUCUUCCAACAGGUCCUGCAAUCUCACUGGUAAUGCUGUGAAAGCCCUAAUAAGAGUCAUUUAAGGUUCUUGUCUAUCCAACACAUUCCAAUGCAAUAGUAAUGCAGUGACAAUAUUAAUUGUGAUAUUAGCAGCUUCACAGCAUGUUUGUGUUAAGAAGCCAAUAGUGUUCAUUACAAGUUACAUGGUAUCAAAUGAGAUGGCUGGCACGCGUUCAAUCCUUUUGUGAGCGAAAAAAAAAGUGUGACAAGGGCUUCAUAAUAUUCGCCAUCUAAAAUGGGUCACUCAGUAGAGCACAAA